CUGCUGAUCGACUGGUAUUGAUGCAUUAAUUAAUAAUCGAUCAUGAAUCCAUAAGUUAAAAACAUGGAUUAAGAAGUUGAGUUUUACCUGUUUGCAGCUGCUCUGUCCGUCUUAUUCCACAAAAACAUCAAGCUCCAAACUGUUGUGAAACACACGCUCUACAAUACACACUUACGUACUUCCGGUUAGAUUUUUUCAAAAUAAAACCUCGCUGCGGAGCCCAGACAGUCUCCGUCUGUUCAUAUACUACAUGAAUUCAGGGUUGAAAAACGGAGAACUGUCAAAGGAACACAAAAAGAAAAGAACUGUAGGCUCAUAAAUCAAAACAGGAGAUGGAGGUUAACCCACCCCGGAAGUGUUGCCAUGACACCCCAGAGCCUGUCAGUCAGCGUGGAAAGCCCCGGAGCUGGAGGGGAAUUCCGGCACAACGUGGCAAAUAAGUCCCGCUGAUUGGUUGAGGGAGAUAAGCCCCGCCCACCAGACAGAACUGAAGCACACAGUUUAUAUAUUCAUCAUUUUAAAAUCAUGCACACUUAGAUCACAAGAAAACAUUUGAAAAUGAAAACUAAUGAAUAAAAAGUCAAAAUAAA